UGACUAUAAAGUUAAAACUUAAACUACAUGGCGGCAGUUAGAAAUUUCAGGGGAACUUGCCAAGUAAAUGAUAACCCUCAAAAAAACGUUACUCUUGUUUAUAGUUUGUAUAUCGCCGUCUCCCAGCAUUCAUUUUAGAUGAAUUCAAAAUGUUUUUUACAAGAAGACAGGUUUUGAUGCAGCCCAUAUAAGAGUCUUAGGUGAGUUACAAUAAAUAUUAAAUUUGGAUUUAUUUUGAAACCGAAGUAAUAAAAAUGGACUUGAAAGUAAUAGUWAAAAUAAACAUUAAAUGAAUAUCAAACCUAACUGUGUACACACCGCCCGUCACCC
rnacentral:rRNA from 1 species